rnacentral:tRNA from 1 species
UCCCUCCUAGCUGAGUUAGUGAAGAAUUUGCCUGCAAUGCAGGAGACCUGGGUUCGAUCCCUGGGUUGGGAA